GAUGAACGCUGGCGGCGUGCCUAAUACAUGCAAGUCGAGCGAACAGACGAGGAGCUUGCUCCUCUGACGUUAGCGGCGGACGGGUGAGUAACACGUGGAUCACCUACCUAUAUGACUGGGAUAACUUCGGGAAACCGGAGCUAAUACCGGAUAACAUGUUGAACCGCAUGGUUCAACAGUGAAUGACGGUCUUGCUGUCACUAAUAGCUGGAUCCGCGCCGCAUUGGCUGGUUGGUAAGGUAACAGCUUACCAAGGCAACGAUGCGUAGCCGACCUGAGAGGGGGUUCGGCCACACUGGAGCUGAGACACGUUCCAGACUCCGAGGGGAGGCAGCAGUAGGGAAUCUACCGCAAUGGGCGAAAGCCUGACGGAGCAACGCCGCGUGGGUGAAGAAGGUCUUCGGAUCGUAAAACUCUGUUAUGAGGGAAGAACAAAUGUGUAAGUAACGAUGCACGUCUGGACGGAACCUAAUCAGAAAGCCACGCCUAACUACGU
rnacentral:rRNA from 1 species